rnacentral:rRNA from 1 species
CGCAGCCGCGGUAAUUCCAGCUCCAAUAGCGUAUAUUAAAGUUGUUGCAGUUAAAAAGCUCGUAGUUGAAUUUCGGGACCAAUAUGUCGGUCGUGCUUCGGUACGUACUUGCAUUAUUGGUUUCUCCCUUCUGACGAACCAUGAUGUCAUUAAUUUGGUGUCUUGGGGAAUCAGGACUGUUACUUUAGAAAAAAUUAGAGUGUUUAAAGCAGGCUCACGCUUGAAUACAUUAGCAUGGAAUAAUGAAAUAGGACGUUUGAUUCUAUUUUGUUGGUUUCUAGGAUCGACGUAAUGAUUAAUAGGGAUAGUUGGGGCAUUAGUAUUCAAUUGUCAGAGGUG